rnacentral:rRNA from 1 species
AGUGAACGCUGGCGGCGUGCCUAACACAUGCAAGUCGAACGAUGAUUGGAGAGCUUGCUCUUCAUGAUUAGUGGCGCACGGGUGAGUAACGCAUAGGUAAUGUGCCCCUUAGUCUGGGAUAGCCACUGGAAACGGUGAUUAAUACUAGAUACUCCUUCUUGUCUCAAGGCAAGUCGGGAAAGUUUUUCGCUAAGGGAUCAGCCUAUGUCCUAUCAGCUUGUUGGUGAGGUAACGGCUCACCAAGGCUAUGACGGGUAUCUGGUUUGAGAGGAUGAUCAGACACACUGGAACUGAGACACGGUCCAGACUCCUACGGGAGGCAGCAGUGAGGAAUAUUGCACAAUGGAGGAAACUCUGAUGCAGCAACGCCGCGUGGAGGAUGACGCAUUUCGGUGUGUAAACUCCUUUUAUUAGGGAAGAUUAUGACGGUACCUAAUGAAUAAGCACCGGCUAACUCCGUGCCAGCAGCCGCCGCGG